GACGAACCGUGCGAACGUUAUUCGGAAUCACUGGGCUUAAAGGGUGCGUAGGCGGGCUGUCAAGUCUGGGGUGAAAUCCCGCGGCUCAACCGUGGAACUGCCUCAGAUACUGAUGGCCUCGAGGGAGGUAGGGGCAUGCGGAACUGUAGGUGGAGCGGUGAAAUGCGUUGAUAUCUACAGGAACUCCGGUGGCGAAAGCGGCGUGCUGGACCUCUUCUGACGCUGAGGCACGAAAGCUAGGGGAGCAAACGGG
rnacentral:rRNA from 1 species